GAGAGGGCCCCUUUCACCCCGGGAGGCAGCCGGCUACAGGAGGGGCGUCCCCGGCCCAGCGGAAGAACCGCCCCUACUGGGGCGGACCGGGAGCCGGAUCUUGGGACCCCGCUUUUCCCCUCCCCGCCGGCCCCUGGCACAUUAAGGGCGGGGCAGGCAGAGGGGAGGGGCCGCGCGGCCGGGGCGGCAGGAGCCGUGGGGGCGGGGCCCAGGCUUGAGAGCUCAGGGCUCUGGCCGCAUGGAUCGUGGUUCGCUGGCCGGCCUGCGGCGGCCUGCGGAGGAAGAGUGGGGCGGCCCCGGGGACGCGAAACGGGCCUGCAGGGCCAUCGUGGCCGGAUCCGGGGAGGAUGCCGGCCACUGGCCGUGCUGGACCACCGAGCGGAGCUCCCAAGCCAAGAGCUUCCUGACGAGGGAGAUGGUGCCGGCGGACGUCCCAGGCAGACAGAGCACCGCGGUAGGUUCCCGCCACCCCCGAGAACGUCCAGGCGGGGUCAUGACGAGGGUUCUGACCCGCCUCUGGUUUCUUCUCUAGAUUUCUGGCCACAACGGAAGGCGGCCCCCCCAGCCCUGCUCACGAUGCCUGGCCGGCCAGUCCGGCCAUUUAAGCCAUACCAUGAGUUGCUAGAAGAGGUAAGCAGGCAGCGCAGGCCGAGCCGUCAUCUCCUCAGGAUGCUUCAGGGAAACGUGGCCCAGCUGGAUCGAAGGGCCCAAGAACGCGGGGCUGUUACCUCCUGGGAAGCCCCUGGCUCCCUGGUCCUCCUCUCCGGGGCUCUGAAGAGCAGCAGCGCCGCCGCCGCCUCCUCCUCCACGCUGGAAUAACUCCCACCCUGCCAAGCGUCCUCGGGUCCUCCCCAGGGGGGCGGGGCGGUCAGUGAGUCCCCUCCCAGAGGCAGCCUGUCCCUCCUGCUGGAUGCCUUUGGCGAGCCAGGCCGCUGGUGCCCACUUUUAAUAGAAAUUAUUUUUGUAUGACAAAAAUGUAUGUUCUCUCCUGCCACAUAAAGCUGGGAGGACUCGGCUCCAUCUUUGUUCUUCUUCCUUUGACCCAGACGCGCCCCGUCGCCCGCCGAGCUUACAGGAAAGGGAGAUCUUCCCUUCCUCCUUUUCCAAUGCUUCCGGGGCCAGAGGAAAGGGCUGGGGUGGGGGGUGGCUGUUUCCUUCUGAAAGCUCUAGGAGCUGCCUGGGGUGAGUGCAGGGAAAAGACCAGGCUUUGGGCAGGAUGCUUCCUUGUACCCAGCAUGCUCUCUCGAACGAAUUCCCGCCCUCUUUCUGGGGCCCCUUCAAGGCCAUCUUGGGGAGCCCCACCCACCCAGGAGGCCUUUCCGCUUCCUUACCUCUGAGGGUCAGGCAAAAAGAGGAAGCGGCGGGGGGGGGGGGGGGGGGGGGGAUCCCCUGCCGGCCAGAGUGUUGAGGGGUUGAUGCAAGUGUGGCUUCAGAGGAGAUGAGCAGGGCCUGGGCUCUGGAGAGGAAGGGCAGCCCUUGGCCCCAGGAGGCAAGGCUGGGGGCUGCGGAUGGGCGGAGGUCUGCAUAGGUACCUGGGAGUAGAGGGUCGCCAUUUUCAUAGCUCUGCCCUCCCCCGCUUCCCCAAGGAGCAAACAAAGCCAAAUGUCAAAGGUCAUCUUGUUACAGCCGGACCUUUACCGGCACCGCCCAGCCCCUCCUGGGACUGCCUCCGGCUGCACUGUUUCCUAGCAGCCUUCCUGAGACCUUCUUGCUGUGAUUGUCCAUCUAACCACUGAACAGCGGCCACGCUGCCUCUGCACACUCCAUCUCCAUCCAGAAAAGCAGGACCGGCCCAACGCUCAGAGGCCCUGCUGCAGCC
rnacentral:lncRNA from 1 species